CCUGUGAAGAUGCAGGUUACCCGCGACAGGACGGAAAGACCCCGUGGAGCUUUACUGUAGCCUGAUAUUGAAUUUUGGUACAGCUUGUACAGGAUAGGUAGGAGCCGUGGAAGCCGGAGCGCUAGCUUCGGUGGAGGCGUCGGUGGGAUACUACUCUGGCUGUAUUGACAUUCUAACCCGCACCUCUGAUCGAGGUGGGAGACAGUGUCAGGUGGGCAGUUUGACUGGGGC
rnacentral:rRNA from 1 species